rnacentral:rRNA from 1 species
UACGAAGGGUGCAAGCGUUACUCGGAAUCACUGGGCGUAAAGCGUGCGUAGGCGGUUGAUUAAGUCUGCUGUGAAAGCCCUGGGCUCAACCUGGGAACUGUAGUGGAUACUGGUCAGCUAGAGUGUGAUAGAGGAUGGUGGAAUUCCCGGUGUAGCGGUGAAAUGCGUAGAGAUCGGGAGGAACACCAGUGGCGAAGGCGGCCAUCUGGAUCAACACUGACGCUGAGGCACGAAAGCGUGGGGAGCAAACAGG